rnacentral:rRNA from 1 species
UACGUAGGGCGCGAGCGUUGUCCGGAAUCAUUGGGCGUAAAGAGCUCGUAGGCGGCCGGUUGCGUCUGCUGUGAAAUCCCGGGGCUUAACCCCGGGCGUGCAGUGGAUACGGGCUGGCUGGAGGCAGGCAGGGGAGAAUGGAAUUCCCGGUGUAGCGGUGAAAUGCGCAGAUAUCGGGAGGUACACCGGUGGCGAAGGCGGUUCUCUGGGCCUGUGCUGACGCUGAGGAGCGAAAGCGUGGGGAGCGAACAGG